rnacentral:rRNA from 1 species
GACGAACGCUGGCGGCGUGCCUAAUACAUGCAAGUCGAGCGGAAGUUGGAGAGCUUGCCCUUCAACUUUAGCGGCGGACGGGUGAGUAACACGUGGGCAACCUGCCCUGCAGAUCGGGAUAACUCCGGGAAACCGGUGCUAAUAUCGAAUAGUUUUCGCCACCUCCUGGUGGCGUACGGAAAGACGGUUUCGGCUGUCACUGCAGGAUGGGCCCGCGGCGCAUGAGCUAGUUGGUGGGGUAACGGCCCACCAAGGCGACGAUGCGUAGCCGACCUGAGAGGGUGAUCGGCCACACUGGGACUGAGACACGGCCCAGACUCCUACGGGAGGCAGCAGUAGGGAAUCUUCCGCAAUGGACGAAAGUCUGACGGAGCAACGCCGCGUGAGUGACGAAGGUUUUCGGAUCGUAAAACUCUGUUGUGAGGGAAGAACAAGUACCACUUAACUACUGGUACCUUGACGGUACCUCACCAGAAAGCCACGGCUAACUACNUGCCAGCCGCCGCAGUAAAAC